rnacentral:rRNA from 1 species
CGGAGGGCGCGAGCGUUACCCGGAUUUACUGGGCGUAAAGGGCGUGUAGGCGGCUUGGGGCGUCCCAUGUGAAAGGCCACGGCUCAACCGUGGAGGAGCGUGGGAUACGCUCAGGCUAGAGGGUGGGAGAGGGUGGUGGAAUUCCCGGAGUAGCGGUGAAAUGCGCAGAUACCGGGAGGAACGCCGAUGGCGAAGGCAGCCACCUGGUCCACUUCUGACGCUGAGGCGCAAAAGCGUGGGGAGCAAACCGGAUU